AUUUAAGGGAUCUGGUUAUUUGCUCCCCAAAUAAACAUAUCAGAUCCUAAUUAGUCUUUCUAUCGCUCGUUUCCUUCUCCCGAUUCUUCACCGACUCCAUCGAACUCCUCCCUAACUCCAUCAAGCACUUCCCUCCGCCCUCCGCCCUCCACCUCCAACACCCACCCCAUCCACCAAUCAUCUCCUCCCUCCCUCAAUCGACCACCUCUACCUCCGUCAACGAUCAACAUCGGCUACCAAUCAACAAUCCUUAAUCCAGAAGCAAGCAGAUGAUCACAAGUCACUCUCGUUUAUGUUGCCUAUGCUUCGAAUCUCACGAUUGAGAACUCUAAGCUCCUUAGGGUUUUGACUGAUCUUUUGCGCAGCUAUACAGAUCUCAUCUUGAAACCGGCUUACAAAACUUUGUUCGACUCGGAUGCGGAAUCAAAAGACGAAGUGUGGCUCCGGCAAAGUAGGGCGAUAUCACCUUCGCAUCCGUCAGAUAUCGUCGUUGCCGCCCUCAGCUCCGUCAAAUCGAUGUCAUGACUGAUCCGUCUUCUCCAUCUCUUGUGCCUAUAAGUGAGUCUCUAUCUCUCUUAUAUGUAGAAUCAAUUGCGUAUUUACAAUCGAUUGAGCAGUCAUCUUUCAUGAACCGAUUUCCAGUGAGAAUUGAUUGUUUCCUGAAAAUCGAUGGUUCAUUACAAUUGAUUGAUUGCUAAGUAAACAUAGGUUGGUGAAAAUCAAGUUUCUGUUGAAAAUCGAUGCUUUCUAAGUUGCUAUGUAGAACAGAAAAUUGAUUGCUUGCUCUGUACCACGUUACAAUUGCUUUCUGAAGUUUGUUUCCCAUACUUGCUACGUGCUAUUGAAAUUCCAUUAUUUGCUGAAAAUUAGACUUCUUCCUGUACACCACUUUAUAAUUGUUUACACUCUCAAUCUUAAUGUGAAAUGAAUUUAUAGUAAUAGGAAAAUGUCCCAAACUUAGUUUAACAACACACAAUCAUAGUUUGAGGCAAACUUCAUUGAUUUUGACAUGGUGGAACUUGGUUUUGUCAAAUUUCAAUAUUAUAUAACAAGUUAACAACUUAUUUGAUUAUUUGAUUUGAUACUAAUCCUAGAAAUCUGUUACAAAUGACAUUUUAGCAUCUGAACAUUUAUCAACAGAGGCAAUAUGCAGGUAUAUAGUAUUAUUUAAUUUGUUUUUGAUUAUUUGUUUGAAAAAUAUUUUUUCAAAAUAACAUUGUUUUAUGGUAGGCUCCAGAAAUAGAAAUCACCCCAGCUCCAAAUACAAUACUAUAUCCAGAACCAAUAAACAGCCUGGAAUGUGCAGGCGUGUCAAGUUUCUGCCAAAAAAGAGGCAUCUGUAGACGUUUUGACCGACCAAUUGACUGUUGGAAGAAAUAUCAACACUUAGAUCAACUAACAUUUUAGUUUUUGGACGGAUAGGAAUGAAGCACGUAUGUAUUGAUCUAACAAUAGUUUCAUAUAUGGUGUUGGGGAAUGAAGUUUUUACUACAGGACAUACUGCUUUAAAAGUUGUCUCAUGCAAAGUGGUAAAAUAUCAGAAAAUGUACAUAGAAAAUCAACUCACAUUUAUACAUUUCACAUUUGUUUCCUUACGUCAGAUGUUAUGGAUCGAGCUCCUCAAUAGAGUCCAAUGCAUAAUGCAUAAUAAUGUUAUGAACCCAAAAUUUAUGAAUAUGGUUUUAAAAGAAUUACUGUCGACAUCCAAAAAUGAUUAGCGACACAAAUUACUGUCUUUUUACCCAUUAGGUUUAUGUAAAACUUUUAUGUUUUAUUGAAAAGUUAUGUUUAUCUGUUUUUAAAUUUAAUUUGUUCGGUGAUUUAAACAAUUAAAAGAAAAGAUGCGUCUAUUUACUUUUGUAUGACUAUUUGAAAGCGUUUCAACAAGCGUCAUUGGGAAAUGUGUAUUCGAUAAAUAAAUAAUGAAUUAGGCUAAUUAAGUUUCAUAAAUUAGUUAUUUGAUUAUCUAUGUGAUAAAUUUUUUAGUUAUUUUAGUUUAUUAUUUAAUUUU